rfam:Schistocephalus solidus strain NST_G2 genome assembly, scaffold: SSLN_scaffold0001484
GAGCCCGUGGCUCAAUGGUAGAGCUUUCGACUCAAAUACCAAAGGUCGCGGGUUCGAAUCCCAGGGUUUG